CCCUGCCAGGGUCACCGCAGGAAGAGCUUUGGGACAAAGCCAGUCUAGGAUACAUUGGAUCACAGCCUGGAGUCGCAGUCAGAGUGAUGGCAGAUCUUCAUAUUAAAUACCGGCAAAGAGGUCAUUGGCGAGCAGCUUGACAAUCCAUGUUAGAGUCCAGCAUGAAUGUCCAUAUGUGGAAGUCCAUCUAAGUCUCAAAUAAAGAUAAUGGAAGAGUG